rnacentral:rRNA from 1 species
CCAGCCCGCUACAGAAACUCAAAGGAAGUUGACGGGGCCCGCACAAGCGGUGGAGUAUGUGGUUUAAUUCGAUGCAACGCGAAGAACCUUACCUGGUCUUGACAUCCCGGAGACCCUUAGGAAACUAGGGGUGCUUCCAUCUGGAAGAAUCUGGAGACAGGUGCUGCAUGGCUGUCGUCAGCUCGUGUCGUGAGAUGUUGGGUUAAGUCCCGCAACGAGCGCAACCCUUGCCUUUAGUUGCCAGCAGUUCGGCUGGGCACUCUAAAGGGACUGCCGGUGUUAAACCGGAGGAAGGUGGGGAUGACGUCAAGUCCUCAUGGCCUUUAUGACCAGGGCUACACACGUACUACAAUGGCCGAUACAAAGGGCAGCGACACUGCGAGGUGAAGCCAAUCCCGUAAAAUCGGUCUCAGUCCGGAUUGGAGUCUGCAACUCGACUCCAUGAAGUUGGAAUCGCUAGUAAUCGUGGAUCAGCAUGCCACGGUGAAUACGUUCCCGGGCCUU